GCUGCACCUUGAAGGUCCGAUUGUGAUAGACAAGGAAAGGUUUCCAGGCGAAGGGUAAAAACACAGCUGUUGGGUACUGAGGUGCGUCAUGGGCUGGAGGGUGGGGCCCCUGCUCCACUUAACCCAGCUCACCCACAGGUGUAGAAAUGUCUGUUCUCCACAUUCACCCCCCUCCCACUCCUUGCCCUUGCCCACCAGCACUUCUGCCCACGAUGGGCACAGCAGGUCAUGCUAAUAGCUUACAUGGGAAUGUGGGAAAUAAGGUCAUUCUGUUCCCGUUCCAGUCUUGUUCUGGGGAAAUGUUUAGCAACCCACUGAGUGGGGAGGGGGACUUGGAGCAUCUGCCAGUUGCCACAGGGUAAAUACUCCCAUCUCAGCUAAAACCUCACGAAAAUUGCAACAUCACUAAAUACACAGCUCUUGUGAGCCCCGAAGAGCCAACUCCAGGCCAUCACCCUACCUACUCCCUCCUGGAAAAGUCUGCCUAAAGGUGGAUGAGAACUGCUCCUGAACGCUGUGCCUUCUCAAUGCGGUGCAGACCCUUCAUGCCCCACCUCUUCUUUCUUCAGCUGGGCUUGGCAAUCUUUGCCUUUCAGGGAGUGGUACAGAGAUAGAGCUGAAAGGGCGCCUGCCCAGGGAGCUGCUGGAGACAACAGAUGCACCUGUGAGUGUUUAUGUGUACCGUUAGUGCCUGCACAAUUCUGCACGUGCCCACAUGGGACUAUGCAUAUUCACAUGUGUCUGUAUGUGGGUGAACAUGCCUGUGUAACUGGGGGCUAUUCCAGAAGUUGAACCAGAACAGGAACCGUUAAGUGGUGCUUUUUAAAUGUGAUGCUUUAAAAAAGUACCCGUGUGCUGAUAAUGACCACAGUUGUGUCCUAAGCUAUUAACUGCACAUGGCUUCUGUCUGCCUCAGCAAUUCUGAACCCCUGUCCCCAUGGGCACAGGGACACAGCCCAAGACAAACAUGGAAACCAGCUCCUGGGGCUUCUAGGAGACGACAGUUCAUGGCAUACAGCCGAAUCCUCAGUGGAAACUUGGAGUCUUAACCACUGGACCUCCAGGGAAGUCCCAUGCUGCAUCAUUUGAUGGACCUAGGUACCCCAUUCCCUUGGACAUGGUGAUGUGCUGAGGAGCCCAGUUGUCCAGGCCAGGCUCCCAGUCCCCUCCCAUGGAAAUAUGACCUGUCACCUCAGCCGCUGGCUCAGACCACACACCGGGACACAGCCCAGCAGGAAAAGUCCAGAAGUGAUCAUCCCCACAGGCUCACGCCCCCUGGAGCAUCGCGGGACUCUGAGCACCGCCCAGAUCCGCAUCCGGAGCCUGGGCGGCGAGGGGGCGCGGGGGGUCCCGGUCUCUAACCCCCAGGUUCCAGGAAGUCUGCCGAGAGGCUGCACGCCCCCUCCUCCCACUUCCCGUCCUCCCCUCUCUCCCCGCCUUUCCCUCCGCCCCAUUCCCGGAUUGAAUUCCGGAAGAGUCCCCGAGCCUGCCGUGGGGUCCUGCAGGCGGUCCCUCUCCCGUCUGCUUUCUCUAUUAUUCUGAUCGACUCUCGGGGACACCGUUUGUCAACUGUCGAGAGCUAUGCAUAUGACCGGGGUUGGUAUUGUUAUUACUAAGAGGCGCUCGGUUUCGAAAUCGCUUUGAAUUUUCUGGCACCAAAUCUUGGCGGUUCCCGUGCCUGGAAGCCUCGGCCGCGUGGGUGUUUUUUCGUCCCUGUGACUUGCGGAGUGGAAACCCACUCCUGCUUUCCUGCUCGGGAAGACGGUGGUUUGAGACGGGAAACCAGGACUGUGUCGCUUCAGAAAGCCGGGAGCAAGACACGCCCCAGAGCUGGUUUAACCUGCUGUAACUAGACUGGCUGAAUUAACUAUCCCUCAACUGGACACAUGACCACUCAUUCCUAUGGAGGACUUUCAUCUGACAAACAUUUUCUCCUCUCCUUUGUCCAUCCCACUGGGAAGCAUCAACUGGCUACUCCUCCUCCAUCCUGACUCCGCCCCCAUCACCUGUCUGCCUCUCCCUCCUCCACCUUACCUAGUCAGUCGCUUGGAUCCUCCCCAAGCUCCACUGCUUAGCUCAGGCUCAUCAGAGCUCACCUGAACUGCGGUAGCCUCCUCCCCAUCUACCCAUCUACCCCAGCUCCAUUCCCCAUAAAAGCAGGUCUCAGCUUGCCACUUCUCUGCUGCUAAUCCUGUUUUGCAUCAGAGGCCAAGGCCCAGCCCUCAGGGACCAACGAGCAGGACAAACCAGGGUGCCUGAAUAAAACAUGCCUCUUCCAGUCAGUCACCCAGGAGAAACUUACUCAUCCCAGGAGGGGAGGCGGGGGAAGAAGCUCUAGGGAGGAUUCUGGCCCAGCCAACUCUCAUCAACCGAGGUGCCCCAGGGUUUUCCCAGUGGAUCAAUGGUAAAGUAUCUGUCAAUGCAGGAGACAGUGCGGGUUCUACCCCAGAAUUCGGAUGAUCCCCUGGAGGAGGAAAUGGCAAUUCACUCCAGUAUUCUUACCUGGAAAAUCCCAGAGACAGAGGACCCUGGCAGACUAUACAGUCCAUGAGGUUGCAAAAGAAUUGGACCUGACUGAGCAACUAAACCAUAACAACACCAUACAGGUGCCCUAACGUAUGUAUAAUAUGCAUCAGGAUAUUCACUGAACUAUAGCUUUCAUAGUUUCCAUUUGGAACCAAAAUAGGAGGGUAGUUAAUAAGUUCUACUUCAGCAAUACAAUUAAAUAUUACGUUCUAUUUAAAAGAAUGAGGCAGCUAAGUACUAAAAUUAAGUGAUCCUAAUUAAGAUUUAUCAUGUGCAAAAGCAAAGUGCAGAACAGUGAGUACAGCAUUUAAAGCUUAUGAUUUAAAAAAAAAAAAAGUAAACAUUUCAUAAGUAUAGAGUGUCUUUGGAAGGAAACAAUCAACAACAGUGUUGUGGAGUGGGAUGCUGGGAGACCAAGAAUAUAAAUGGGAGGAAGACUUUAUGGUGUGUGCCCUUUGAAUUUUGUGAAAUAUUAUCAAAUCCAGCAAAAUAUCAUGAAUGUAUAUUUCAUAUGUAUAUUAUGUAUGUGUGUGUGUAUAGAAUAAUUUUAAGUGUAAGGGACCUUUUAAAAAAUAUGUUUAUUUAUUUAUUUGGCCAUGCCUUGAAGCUUGCAGGAUCUUAGUUCUAUAACCGGGGAUCAAAACUCAGCAGUGGAUGUGCACAGUCCUAACCCCUGCACCCCGAGGGAAUUCCCUAAAAGGAGAGGAUUUUUCUACCCUGCUGCCGUCUAUGGGGUCGCACAGGGUCGGACACGACUGAAGUGACUUAGCAGCAGCAGCAGCAGUGCUCCGUGAGAGAUGGUGAUAAGCGUACUGCAUGGCCCUGCCCCUUCCAGACCUCAAUUUUCCAUCUAUACAAUGGCAGUCUCGGGGACUGCAAGGACAUCAAACCAGUCAAUCCUAAAAGAAGUCAACCCUGAAUAUUCAUGGAAGGACUGAUGCUGAAGCUGAAGCUGCAGUACUUUGACUACAUGAUUUGACAAGCCGACCCAUUGGAAAAGACCCUAAUACUGGGGAAGAUUAACGGCAGGAGGAAAAGGGGGUGACAGAGGAUGAGAUGGUUGGAUAGCAUCACCAACUCAAUGGACAUGAAUUUGAACAAACUCCAGGAGAUAGUGGAGGCCAGAGGAGCCUGGUGUGCUGCAGGUCCGUGAGGUUGCAAAGAAUCAGACACAACUUACCAAAUGAAUAACAGUGAGAGUUUGAGACUAGGUUCCUGCCUUACUUCUUAAUCUUACAGCUAACCAACCAAACCAGUACCGAUGUAGUGGCCAUAAGAUGACCUUUGAUGGGCUGGGGAAGGGAUGGUAUAAAAUGGCAUUAAUGAAUGAGCAAAGUCCGGGAGAUAGUGGAGGACAGGGAAGUUGGGCGUGCUGCAGUCACUGGGGCUACAAAGAGUUGGACAUGACUUAGCAACUAAAAAACAACAACAACAAUAAAAGUCGGAGGCACUGCCAUCAGUUGAACAGGAUCACUCCUGUGGCUUUGGAGCAAGUGAUCAUGGGAAAGCUGCAUCUGCCUGCAUUGGGGACACCUGUCUCUCCUGCAAAUCAGUUCCCUAGGGCUUGGCAGCUUCUUCCCUCCCAUCACCUAUCUGCUUCUUCCAUCACCAAUCUGCCCACCUGCCUCUAUCCCUGAGGCCCUCAGGGAGGAGCUGACCCAGGGAAGGAGCUAGAGACAGCAGUGGAACAAGUUCUAUGGGGCAGAGGGAAGGCGCCUACCUCCCUAUUUAUUAACUGAGGUCCUGGCCUCCCUCCGGCCCUGAUCUAGGCAGAUCAGGCUCUGCCUAGCUUAGCCUGCCUGCCCGCUCCUCCCCACCUCCCUGUGCCCAUUCAAAGGAGGCAGCUCUCAUAUAUGCUGGAGCUUGACACACCCAGCUCCUUCCACCAGUCUAGCCUUCUCCUCUAACAGAAGAUGUCUGUGCCUGAGGCUGGGAGACCUGAGAUGCCUGCUAUGUUGAGCCUCCCUGGGAGGUGAGACCUGGCAAUCUGAGCCUUCAGAGCACACCCAGAGCCCCAGUUAGCAGGCAGCCAUCUCUCUCCAAAGCCUCCUGCUGGGCUCAGCACUGGCCUUUUCUCUCUCUGUCUCUUUACGAAAAAAAAAAGUAUUUAUUUAUUUGGUGGUAUCAGCCUGUAGGAUCUUCAAUCUUCGUUGCAGCAUGCAAGCUCUUAAUUGUGGAAUUGUCUAGUUCCCUGACCAGGGAUCGAACCCAGAUCUCCUGCGCUGGGGGCACGGAGUCUUAGCUACUGGACCAGCAGGGAGUUUCCUGGCCUUUUUCUUAAUGAUCUUAAUGAUGAGAGCCAAAGGGAAAAUACAUGGGAGUCAGAGGAACUGAGGCUGGAUAUUUUCCUGGCCCUUAUUCUCUCUCUCCCAUCCACCCUGGGUUUUCUGUUCCAGAUCAGCCCUAGCCCCAUGAUGAAGUCACUCUCCUUCUUGGGGCCUUCUAGUCCAGCUUCAAGAAGAGGGGCUUGGGCCCAGGAAGCUGCUUGUUACCAGAUGCCCCCAGGUGGUUCCAAGGCAGGUGCUGGGUGGACAGGGUUAAAGAAGCAGCUGUCUUGUACAUUCCAGAAAGGCUUUGUCUUACAUUCCUCCUGGAUGUACCCCUAGAAGCCAAGGGUCUGAAGUGAGCAACCAAGAGGCUGGGGCUUCUGGAAACAAGGCAGAUGAUCCUCUUUGUGGGACUUGACUCUGAAAGCUGCUACCAUCAGUGGUUAGGAUUCUGAGCUUCUACUGCCCGGGGCCCCAGUUCAAUCCCUGGUCAGGGAACAAGAUCAUACAAGCAACACAUUGCAGACAAAUAAAUUAAAAAAAAAAUUUUUUUUAAAGAAAUACCAAUCUUACAACCCAGCCAUUGCGUCCUUCGAUUCUUACCCAAGAAUGAAAACAUGUCCACACAAAGACGUUACACAAAUGUUUGUAGGAGUUUUUCUGGUAAUAACCCCAAACUGGAAACAACACAAAUAUCGACCAUUAGAAUGGAUAAACAAAUAUGGUAUAUCCAUACAACAGAAUGUUACUCAGCAGUCAAAAGGAACAAACGAUUGAUUCACACAACAUGGAUGAACUUCAAAAUAAUUAUGUUGAGUGAAAGAAGACCAAAAAGAGUAUAUUCUGUUUGAUUUCAUUUAGGUAAAAUUCUAGAAAGGGAAUCAGUGGUUACCUGGGGCGAAGGUAGAGAGAAAGAGGGAGAGAUUACAAAAGGGCACGGGACUUCCCUGGUGGUCCAGUGGUUAAAACUCCUUGCUCCCAAUGCCGGGAGCAUGACUUUGAUGCCUGGUCUUGGUCCUGCAUACUCCACAACACAGCCAAAAUAAUAGUGAUAAUGGCAUGAAGAAACUUCUAGGUAUGAUGAGUAGGUUCAUUACCUUUAUUAAAGUAAUGUUGACACGUGUUGAAACCCAAAUUAUUUUGUGCUUUGAAUAUGCACCGUUUGUUAUGUGUCCAUUGUAAUUUAAACAAAUUUUAUUGGAAGAUAUUUGCUUCGUAUUGUGCUGAUUUCUGCUAUCCAUCAACAUGAACCAGCCACAGGUAUACAAAUGUCCCCUCCCUCUUGAGCCUCCCUCCCAUCUCCGACCCCAUCCCACCCCUCUAGGUUGUCAUAGAGUACCAGUUGAGCUCCCUGUGUCACGGCAAAUUCCCACUGGCUAUCUAUUCUACACAUGGUAAAGUGUGUUUCCAUGGUACUCAAUUUUUUAAAAGGUGUUAAUGAGUGAACGUAGGUUGAGCAUAUCUAGGUCUAAUCAAGCAUUGAAGGUGCAUACAG
ensembl:lncRNA